rnacentral:rRNA from 1 species
CAGAGUUUGAUCCUGGCUCAGGACGAACGCUGGCGGCGUGCUUAACACAUGCAAGUCGAACGGAAAGGCCCUUCGGGGUACUCGAGUGGCGAACGGGUGAGUAACACGUGGGUGAUCUGCCCUGCACUUUGGGAUAAGCCUGGGAAACUGGGUCUAAUACCGAAUACACCCUGCUGGUCGCAUGGCCUGGUGGGGGAAAGCUUUUGCGGUGUGGGAUGGGCCCGCGGCCUAUCAGCUUGUUGGUGAGGUUACGGCUCACCAAGGCGACGACGGGUAGCCGGCCUGAGAGGGUGACCGGCCACACUGGGACUGAGAUACGGCCCAGACUCCUACGGGAGGCAGCAGUGGGGAAUAUUGCACAAUGGGCGCAAGCCUGAUGCAGCGACGCCGCGUGGGGGAUGACGGCCUUCGGGUUGUAAACCUCCUUCAGUAGGGACGAAGCGCAAGUGACGGUACCUACAGAAGAAGGACCGGCCAACUACGUGCCAGCAGCCGCGGUAAUACGUAGGGUCCGAGCGUUGUCCGGAAUUACUGGGCGUAAAGAGCUCGUAGGUGGUUUGUCGCGUUGUUCGUGAAAACCGGGGGCUUAACCCUCGGCGUGCGGGCGAUACGGGCAGACUUGAGUACUGCAGGGGAGACUGGAAUUCCUGGUGUAGCGGUGGAAUGCGCAGAUAUCAGGAGGAACACCGGUGGCGAAGGCGGGUCUCUGGGCAGUAACUGACGCUGAGGAGCGAAAGCGUGGGGAGCGAACAGGAUUAGAUACCCUGGUAGUCCACGCCGUAAACGGUGGGUACUAGGUGUGGGUUUCCUUCCUUGGGAUCCGUGCCGUAGCUAACGCAUUAAGUACCCCGCCUGGGGAGUACGGCCGCAAGGCUAAAACUCAAAGAAAUUGACGGGGGCCCGCACAAGCGGCGGAGCAUGUGGAUUAAUUCGAUGCAACGCGAAGAACCUUACCUGGGUUUGACWKGCACAGGACGCUGGUAGAGAUAUCAGUUCCCUUGUGGCCUGUGUGCAGGUGGUGCAUGGCUGUCGUCAGCUCGUGUCGUGAGAUGUUGGGUUAAGUCCCGCAACGAGCGCAACCCUUGUCUCAUGUUGCCAGCACGUUAUGGUGGGGACUCGUGAGAGACUGCCGGGGUCAACUCGGAGGAAGGUGGGGAUGACGUCAAGUCAUCAUGCCCCUUAUGUCCAGGGCUCCACACAUGUUACAAUGGCCGGUACAAAGGGCUGCGAUGCCGUGAGGUGGAGCGAAUCCUUUCAAAGCCGGUCUCAGUUCGGAUCGGGGUCUGCAACUCGACCCCGUGAAGUCGGAGUCGCUAGUAAUCGCAGAUCAGCAACGCUGCGGUGAAUACGUUCCCGGGCCUUGUACACACCGCCCGUCACGUCAUGAAAGUCGGUAACACCCGAAGCCGGUGGCCUAACCCCUUGUGGGAGGGAGCCGUCGAAGGUGGGAUCGGCGAUUGGGACGAAGUCGUAACAAGGUAGCCGUACCGGAAGGUGCGGCUGGAUCACCUCCU